GCAUAUCCAAUAAGCGGAGGAAAAGAAACUAACAAGGAUUCCCCUAGUAACGGCGAAGUGAACCGGGAAGAGCUUCAAAUUUGAAAUCUGGCGUGCUCAGUGCGUCCGAGUUGUAAUCUAUAGAGGCGUUUUCCGUGCCGGACUGUGUCUAAGUCCCUUGGAACAGGGUAUCAAAGAGGGUGAUAAUCCCGUACUUGACACAAUGACCGGUGCUCUGUGAUACGUCUUCUACGAGUCGAGUUGUUUGGGAAUGCAGCUCAAAAUGGGUGGUGAGUUCCAUCUAAAGCUAAAUAUUGGCGAGAGACCGAUAGCGAACAAGUACCGUGAGGGAAAGAUGAAAAGCACUUUGGAAAGAGAGUUAAACAGUACGUGAAAUUGUUGAAAGGGAAACGAUUGAAGUCAGUCGUGACUGAGAGGCUCAGCCGGUUCUGCCGGUGUAUUCCCCUCAGUCGGGUCAACAUCAGUUUUGUUCGGUGGAUAAGGGCAGCUGGAAGGUGGCACCUCCGGGUGUGUUAUAGCCAGCUGUCGCAUACAUCGAAUGAGACUGAGGAAUGCAGCUCGCCUUUAUGGCCGGGGUUCGCCCACGUCCGAGCUUAGGAUGUUGACAUAAUGGCUUUAAACGACCCGUCUUGAAACACGGACCAAGGAGUCUAACAUAUCUGCGAGUGUUUGGGUGUCAAACCCAAGCGCGUAAUGAAAGUAAACGUAGGAGGGAUCCGCAAGGAGCACCUUCGACCGAUCUGGAUCUUCUGUGAUGGAUUUGAGUAAGAGCAUAUAUGCUGGGACCCGAAAGAUGGUGAACUAUGCCUGAAUAGGGCGAAGCCCAGGGGAAACUCUGGUGGAGGCUCGUAGCGAUUUCUGACGUGCAAAUCGAUUCGUCAAAUUUGGGUAUAGGGGGCGAAAGACUAAUCGAACCAUCUAGUAGCUGGUUCUGUGA
rnacentral:rRNA from 1 species